AGAACUGUGGACUGCAUUUAUUUUUUGAUGACUCAUGGUUCAGCAUCUUCCUCUCUGUGGAAGAUUUUUGAGCCACGGCAAAUCCAACAAAGGCACUCACGAGAAAGCUGCUUGGAGAAGAAACUCUUCUUAGAGGGUGAGCAGCUGUCCCCCCACUCUCUUCUCCAGAGAGAGCGACAGUUGAGGAACGAGGAGGGCAGUGUGGGAUGGCACUCACUCUCAUCCUUAUCAGGCGGGACUCUUGCUUGCAACAACACCCAUUGGCGCUGUUUGCUCACACGGCUUCUGCCAGCCAAGUGCGGUGCUGGAUAGGUACCCGUCGCUUCCUUUGGCCAAGGCUGACCUGAUGAUCCCAUACUCCAGAACCGACCCCUAUGCAGAUGUGGUGGGAAGAGGAAACAGGCAGUGCCUACUUCAGCUCCACUGGAGACCGCUCUUGAGUGUUGUUCUCCAGACUCUGUCUUCAAGCCUUCCCUUACGCCCUACCCUCUCUGAGCUACUUUAACUAGUCCUGGGAGUCUUGCGCUUCUGAGACACUUCUGUGCGUUGCAUAUUAUCACAUCCACAUACGCUUGGACCCCAGCCUGGAGCCCGUCUUCCCCCCAUGUCCUUACUGCCUGCUGCUGACCUGCUUUAAAGUCUCCAGUGCUUCCCCAUCUUUCAGAACAGCCCUGAGACCCUCGGGUAUGACACAAAGGAACCUCAUUAUGCAGCCCCUGCAUAUGUACCUAGCAUCCACACCUGCUUCAGACAAGUGCAGUGUCUGGCGGCUUUCUGAACCAGUCAUGUGUUUUGUACACUCAGUCAUGACAUCUGCCCAAGCAUCCUGGAAAUGGAUCACAUUAUCCCAAUAAACACAGAAGCUUGUUAACAUGGUGUUGGCCAGGCCUAUCCUCUGGCCCAUCAAACCAGAGGUGGGCGGGAGGAGAAAGCAAGUAGAGCACCACAGAGCUGAAUGCCGAAUCGAAGAUCCCUCUCAACCGCAGGGAAAAGCCAAGGCUGUUGGUGAAAUCUGCAGACAGAUUCUUCAUGCCGCUGCUGGGACAUUAGCAUCCAGGAACAAUUAGAUUUGGACAUUGGAGGUGAAUCUUCAGGAUGAGCAGACCAGAGUCAACUCUAAAUGCAACCUGGGGUGAAAAGUUCUUAAUCAUUAAGAGCCUCGGUACAGAUGGGGCAACCCUAAGCCCUCAGGUCUGGGCAGAGGUCAGAAAAGAGAAGGUCUGUGUGUGUAGACUGUGGAGUCCAGACCACAUUCACAAAGCGUGGGUUCUCUUUUCUUGCCUCGUUCUUCGCUUCCUUCCAGCUAGCUGUAGACGAGAGGCACGUCACUGCGGAGGCAUGGAGGGAACUCUGAGAGCAUCUUCUCGGAAGCAGUGAAUGCAAGCAGAAGAUGUUCUGGCUGUGGGGUGUGAUCAUGCGUGGCACAUGCCUAUGAUCCCAGCACUAUGGAGGCUGAGGGACGGCAUGGUGAGUUAGUGGCCAACCUGCUCUACACAGUGUGACGGUGACUAACAGUGGCCUCCCCUGAUUAAUGUAUAAAUUGACCCAAACCGAGUCGAUGUCACUUACACAUUUAAAAUGUGCCCAGGAUAUAUGUUUGUGUCAGUGAGGUCUCUCUCUCUCUCUCCCCUCCUUCUCUCUCUCC